rnacentral:rRNA from 1 species
AUGAUUAGAGCCAAGUAUUUGAGUAGGAAAACUCUGGUUCAAUGUGAAGCAUCUCGGGGUAAUUCCCAUUUUUGGAAUGGGUUGUUGAGUAUAAAGGAUAUCUUCUAUUCUUGCUGUCAAAGGGUGGUGGGUGAUGGGUGUAAGACGAGAUUUUGGGAGGACACAUGGCUGGGGAGAAAGCCACUUUGUCAACUUUUCCCCCGCUUGUAUAAUUUA